UUAGCUAAAAUUCACAGCACUUUCACUUAAGAACUAAAAGAAGUGUUAUAUAGAAAUCAGAGAAAUGACUACAACCUUGUAUUAAUUAGAACAGCGUCAUUCAAGCCAGCAGUCCGUCUGGGAGAAAGUUGCCAGAUCAGUGCUCUCAAGUCAGC